AGCAGCCGCCGCGGUAAUACGUAGGUGGCAAGCGUUGUCCGGAAUUAUUGGGCGUAAAGGGCUCGCAGGCGGUUUCUUAAGUCUGAUGUGAAAGCCCCCGGCUCAACCGGGGAGGGUCAUUGGAAACUGGGAAACUUGAGUGCAGAAGAGGAGAGUGGAAUUCCACGUGUAGCGGUGAAAUGCGUAGAGAUGUGGAGGAACACCAGUGGCGAAGGCGACUCUCUGGCCUGUAACUGACGCUGAGGAGCGAAAGCGUGGGGAGCGAACAGGAUUAGAUACCCCGGUAGUCCCUGUCUCUUAUAA
rnacentral:rRNA from 1 species